UUUAUUAAAGGACCUUUAUAAAAGGUUCUUUGGAAUAAGAACUAGGGAGGGGGAUGAGUAAGGCUGAAUAUUAAAAUAUUUAACAACCAAUAACUUACAUACAUACCAACUAAUCCAAUAGUCUCUGUCCACAAGCAAUCAGUAAGACUGACUGCUCAAGCAUACACCUAAACAACCACCUUGGGGAUGGAAAUUUAGAAGGAAAGAGUGGGAUAGAAAAUUGCUAUUUUAGAAGACUUGAAAUGCUGUUUGACCAUUUAAACAAUAUGUGUAAAUUAUAUCUGUGUUAGGCCAUUCUCUCAUUGCUGUAAAGAAAUACCUGAGACUAGGUAAUUUUCAAAGAAAAGAGGUUUCAUUGGCUCAUAGUUCUGCAGACUGUACUGGAAACAUAAUACUUGUUUCUCUUAGGCUUUCUGGGAAGGCUUCAGGAAACUUACAAUCAUGGCAGAAGGUGAAGGAGGAACAGAUACAUCACAUGGCCCAAGCAGGAGUAAGAGAGAUGAGGGAGAUGCUACACACUUUUAUAUAACCGGAUCUCAUGAUAACUCACUCACUGAUGGAGUCUCAACCUGUCGUCCAGGCUGGAGUACAGUGGUGUGAUCUCAGCUCACUGCAACCUCCACCUCCCUGGUUCAAGUGAUUCUCCUGCCUCAGCCUGUCGAGUAGCGGAGAUACAGCAACAUGGAUGCAGCUGGAGGCUAUUAUCCUAAGUGAAUUAAUGCAGGAAGAGAAAAACAAAUACCUCAUGUUCUUACUUAUCAAUAUGAACUGAAUAUUGAGUACAUAUGGACACAACGAAGGAAACAAUUGACACUUGGGCCUACAUAAGUGUGGAAGGUGAGAGGAAGAGAAAGACCAACAGGAUCAAAGGUGUGGAUUCAGGACACACAGGAGGCACAGGAAGGAGAGUGGCCCGAUUAGAGCAGAGACAGACUGAGUUAAAGCAACUCUGGCCAACUGAGCACUAAAGAGAAACGACAGGAUUACUUGGACUGAAUCACUUGACCACCCAAAUUGUGUCCGUUUUCUAUUUCACAUAUUACAAAUGACGAUAUUCAUUUUCUCUUUUCUCCCUAUCCUAGAGACACAGCAAGGCUGUCAUAGCUGUGUUUAAUGAAUGAAAGAAUGAGUGAACUCUGAUCUCCUUGGUAUGUGUAAUGAAUAAAAUAUUUUUUGUGUUAAUAAUGAAAUACAGUUAUUUAACAUUUAACUGGCACAGAUUGAGAUUUCAGUUCUGAUGUCCGGAACUG
rnacentral:lncRNA from 1 species